GAUGAACGCUGACAGAAUGCUUAACACAUGCAAGUCAACUUGAACUUCGGUUUGGGUGGCGGACGGGUGAGUCACGCGUAAAGAACUUGCCUCACAGAUAGGGACAACAUUUGGAAACGAAUGCUAAUACCUGAUAUUAUGAUUAUAUGGCAUCGUAUAAUUAUGAAAGCUAUAUGCGCUGUGAGAGAGCUUUGCGUCCCAUUAGCUAGUUGGAGAGGUAACGGCUCACCAAGGCGAUGAUGGGUAGCCGGCCUGAGAGGGUGAUCGGCCACAAGGGGACUGAGACACGGCCCUUACUCAUACGGGAGGCAGCAGUGGGGAAUAUUGGACAAUGGACCAAGAGUCUGAUCAAGCAAUUCUGUGUGCACGAUGAAGUUUUUCGGAAUGUAAAGUGCUUUCAGUUGGGAAGAAAAAAAUGACGGUACCAACAGAAGAAGUGACGGCUAAAUACGUG
rnacentral:rRNA from 1 species